rnacentral:tRNA from 1 species
GGCCCAGUGGCCUGAUGAAUAAGGCACAGCCUUCAGAGCUGGGUGUUGUGGAUUUGAAUCCCAUUUGGGUCG